CGGGGUGGAGUAACGCGUGGAUAACCUGCCUCACACAGGGGAGUAACAGUUAGAAAUGACUGCUAAUACCGCAUAAACGCACGGUACCGCAUGGUACAGUGUGAAAAACUCCGGUGGUGUGAGAUGGAUCCGCGUCUGAUUAGGUAGUUGGUGAGGUAACGGCCCACCAAGCCGACGAUCAGUAGCCGACCUGAGAGGGUGACCGGCCACAUUGGGACUGAGACACGGCCCAA
rnacentral:rRNA from 1 species